GAUGAACGCUAGCUACAGGCUUAACACAUGCAAGUCGAGGGGAAACGGCAUUGAGUGCUUGCACUCUUUGGACGUCGACCGGCGCACGGGUGAGUAACGCGUAUCCAACCUUCCCAUUACUGUGGGAUAACCUGCCGAAAGGCAGACUAAUACCGCAUAGUCUUCGAUGACGGCAUCAGAUUUGAAGUAAAGAUUUAUCGGUAAUGGAUGGGGAUGCGUCUGAUUAGCUUGUUGGCGGGGUAACGGCCCACCAAGGCGACGAUCAGUAGGGGUUCUGAGAGGAAGGUCCCCCACAUUGGAACUGAGACACGGUCCAAACUCCUACGGGAGGCAGCAGUGAGGAAUAUUGGUCAAUGGACGGAAGUCUGAACCAGCCAAGUAGCGUGCAGGAUGACGGCCCUAUGGGUUGUAAACUGCUUUUGGAUGGGGAUAAAGUUAGGGACGUGUCCCUAUUUGCAGGUACCAGACGAAUAAGGACCGGCUAAUUCCGUG
rnacentral:rRNA from 1 species